ACGGGGUGCGUUCGGAUGAAGUUUUCGGACGGAAUCUGGAUGUACCUAGUGGCGAACGGGUGAGUAACACGUGAAUAACCUGCCCUGGAGUGGGGGACAACAGUUGGAAACGACUGCUAAUACCGCAUAAGCCCACAGAGCCGCAUGGCUCAGGGGGAAAAGGAGCAAUUCGCUUCAGGAUGGAUUCGCGUCCAAUUAGCUAGAUGGUGAGGUAACGGCCCACCAUGGCAACGAUUGGUAGCCGGACUGAGAGGUUGAUCGGCCACAUUGGGACUGAGACACGGCCCAGACUCCUACGGGAGGCAGCAGUGGGGAAUAUUGCACAAUGGGGGAAACCCUGAUGCAGCGACGCCGCGUGGAGGAAGAAGGUCUUCGGAUUGUAAACUCCUGUCGUUGGGGACGAUAAUGACGGUACCCAACAAGAAAGCCACGGCUAACUACGUGCCAGCAGCCGCGGUAAAACGUAGGUGGCAAGCGUUGUCCGGAAUUACUGGGUGUAAAGGGAGCGCAGGCGGAAGGACAAGUUGGAAGUGAAACCCACGGGCUCAACCCGUGAACUGCUUUCAAAACUGUUUUUCUUGAGUGGUGUAGAGGUAGGCGG
rnacentral:rRNA from 1 species